rnacentral:SRP_RNA from 1 species
CCGGGGAACUCCUGGAAUAAAGUCGUCCGAACCAGGUCAGGACAGGAAUGUAGCAGCCUUUAGGACACCCCUUUAUGCCAAGAGCACUCUCCGGCUU